rnacentral:rRNA from 1 species
UACGAGAGGCCCAAACGUUAUUCGGAUUCACUGGGCUUAAAGAGUUCGUAGGCGGUCUGGAAAGUUGGGUGUGAAAGCCCUCGGCUCAACCGAGGGACUGCGCUCAAAACUACCAGACUUGAGGGAGAUAGAGGUGGGCGGAACUGAUGGUGGAGCGGUGAAAUGCGUUGAUAUCAUCAGGAACACCGGAGGCGAAGGCGGCUCACUGGGUCUCUACUGACGCUGAGGAACGAAAGCUAGGGGAGCAAACGGG